CUAUCUAAGGUUAUAUAUUUUAUCUUAAGUUCAUUAUAUUUUAAGCAUUGUCUAUUGAUAUUAUCCCUAUUUGUGGCUAUAUGUGAGAUUUGACUUUCUGGGCUCACAUAUGGUGUGUAUCUGGUUUUGUUCUUAAAAUCGGGUGCUACAUUUCUUCUCAAUCCUGUCACUUAGAGUUUUUGUAUAUUUUUGAAAAGAAAGUUAGCAUACCAUUUAUCCUCAUAGGUUCUCUCUGAUCACUCAUUAUCUUUUAUAUAUCUCACUGAGGCUGUUUUAAUUUGCAAAUAUUCUCAAGCAUACUUACUUUGCAUUUAUUGUCUGAUCAAAACGGGAUCCGAGGAGGGGAAUGUCAUACUCUUAGGUCAAUGACUUUGGAAAUUAAAAUCAUUGUCAACUCUUGCUGGCAUAUUGCUUAUUAGAGGGACCAUGGGUUAUUAUUUUCUUUCUUUCUCUUUUUUUUAAGUGGAUACCGAGGUACCCCUAAUUCUACUGCCGGACAUUUAUCCAUUUUUUCUGCGAGGUUAUCGAGCACUUGCUCCUUUUUAUUUCCACGAAAUAUCUUUAUUUUUGCAUAGCCCAUGCCUCUAAUGCAAUAAUACCUCAGAAGAGUGAAUCUUUCUGAAUAAAUGUCUUGAUCUUAGGAGCAUGAUAAAUCUCUCAACAAGGGUCUAACUCAUUUUGAACAAACUCAAUACAGAGUAGAUAGCCUUUAUAAUCAUAAUUAAUAUUUUUAGUUUUAUCAGGCAUAAAAAAAACACUG
rnacentral:lncRNA from 1 species